UUUCGCAAUAAAAGUUGCUUUCCUGCCUUAUUUCCGUGCGUCUCUGUGGCUCCUCGUUGCUCGCUGCGUGCUCGGGGCUGUCUCUCCACGCACCGCUCCUGCCCUGCGUCCCCCAGCCCCCUGUCAGUAAACGCAAAGCCCCGAAACGCUGACAAGCUCCCCCCCAAAAAAAAACAAAAGCUCCCAAAACGAAAAAGCCCCAAAACGCCACAAGCUGCCCCAAAACGAGCCCUCCGCAUGGCCGGGGCUCAGACGGAGCCACCCCCGCGUGCGCCUCCCCCUCCCCUCAGGCUCGGGCCGCGGCGGGUGCCUGCCCCCGGGGCUGGGGCUGGCUUGUUUUUUUCUAGGAUUUCCCCGCUUGUCGCCUUUUAAAUGCAGAUGAUUCCUCUCCAGAAUUUAUUUUUGAAUGGAAGCAUGCUCUUUUCCAAUAGAAGAUGGUGAUCCUAACGUAUGAUCAUGGAGAAGGGGAUAAGUUCGAUAGAAGUGUUACCUUCCAAAUCAUCUCAGGUUACAGCUGUAAAAGUGGUGGUCAAAGAGCCCGAAACAAAGCAAACCCAAAGAGGGAAACGAGUGGGAUUUGUGCUUGUUCAUGCAGGUGCAGGUUAUCAUUCUGAAUCCAAAGCUAAAGAGUAUAAGCAUGUGUGCAAAAGAGCCUGCCAGAAGGCAAUUGAAAAGCUACAGGCUGGCGCUCUUGCAACAGAUGCAGUGACUGCAGCACUUAUAGAAUUAGAGGAUUCUCCUUUUACAAAUGCAGGAAUGGGGUCUAACCUAAACCUUCUGGGUGAGAUAGAAUGUGAUGCCAGUAUAAUGGAUGGAAAGUCAUUAAAUUUUGGAGCUGUUGGAGCACUGAGUGGGAUCAAGAAUCCGGUUUCAGUUGCAAAUAGGUUGUUGUGUGAAGGGCAGAAGGGAAAACUCUCUGCUGGCAGAAUUCCACCUUGCUUUUUAGUUGGUGAAGGAGCUUUCAGAUGGGCAGUUGAUCACGGGAUACCAGCAUGUCCUCCAGGUAUCAUGGCUACAAGGUUUAGUUUAGCAGCUUUUAAGAGGAACAAGAGGAAGCUGGAGUUGGCCGAAAAGGUGGAAACAGAUCUCAUUCAACUUAAGAAAAGAAGACAAUCAAAUGAAAAGGAGAACGACUCAGGAACAUUGGAUACAGUUGGUGCAGUUGUUGUUGACCAAGAAGGAAAUGUCGCUGCUGCUGUCUCCAGUGGAGGUUUAGCACUAAAGCAUCCUGGAAGAGUCGGUCAGGCAGCUCUUUAUGGCUGUGGCUGCUGGGCUGAAAAUACAGGAGCUCAUACACCUUACUCCACUGCUGUGAGUACUUCAGGUUGUGGAGAGCACCUUGUCCGAACCAUACUGGCCAGAGAAUGUUCGUGUGCUUUGCAAACGGAAGAUGCCCACCAAGCUCUCCUCGAGACUAUGCAAAACAAGUUCAUUGGCUCACCUUUUCUAGCCAAUGAAGAUGGUGUACUUGGAGGUGUGAUAGUUCUUCGGUCUUGCAGGUGUUCAGCAGAGACUGAAUCGUCACAGGAAAAGCCAACUUUACUAGUGGAAUUUCUGUGGAGCCAUACAACAGAGAGCAUGUGUGUAGGAUAUAUGUCUGCACAGGAUGGCAAAGCUAAGAUCUUACUAGGAUAUUAUACUCAGCUAACUUUUGAGUAGCAUGAUCUGUAAAUUCCAGGCGGAUUCAAUGAAGUCUCACAUUUUGCUCCUGCAGUUAUACUCACAUUUCAAGACUUCCUCCUGGAGCCGUGGCAGGACAGUCCGUGGCAAUAGAAGGAGGGGUUUGCCGACUGGAGAGUCCAGAAAGCUAAACAGCUGAUUCCUCACUUCAUUGCAAAGAAUGUGAAUGACUUUUUGUACAAUAAGGGGUUUUUUUUGUGUUUUAACAGAUGUUGGAAAUUCUACUCCUGUUUUACACCACGUAUUGCAACCAUGUGCACCAUAACUUGAGACAAGUGCUGCUGUAGUUUAUGUUCUCACUCUGUGAAUGGGGGUGUGUGCAUGUUCAUUUUUUCCCUAAUAAAAUAGGAGCUCUUCCCAGUUGUACAAAGAUUAUGUAUGAUUAAUGAUUGUGUUUUCAUUGUUUUAUGUUUGAAAAAUAUCUGAAAGUUCAAAAAAAAAUUAAUUUAAAGAUGUGGUCACAAUUGUCAUUCAUGUUCUAAAUUUAAAAGUAACAGGCCUUUGAAGUGGCUGUAUAAUUAUGCAAAAAUGAUUAUGGUUUCUAAGUUUCUCAGUGGUUUAAGGAAAUCCAGUGAUGGUUUAAACAUGGGUUGUUUUUUUCCUCCCCAAUAAGGAGGAAUUUUUUUGUCAAAGAGUGGUUUCAGUGAAACAAACUAAAGCAGAAUUAAAGCUAAAUUUGUUUUAAAUAAUCUUAUAGGUCAUAUCUCUGUUCCCAAACUAAGAUGUUAAUAGCUUCAAGCUGUAUGUAUUACAAAAAGCUAUAUAAAGAUAAUGUAUCGUAAUGCAGUCUUUAUGUAUAAUGGAAUAUUACAAUGUAAAUAAGAAAACAAAGUUUAUGGAAAGAUUCAAUAUUAUUCUUCGCUUCUGUUUUAAAUCUAUUUUUGAGAGAGGUACAGAAAUGAACAUAUUACUGGAUGCGAAGUGCAAUGUGUAUUGAAUGGAUGUUGGGAGGUCUGAUACUAGCUUUCUUAUCGAUAAAGCAACUUCCUAAAGUCCAGCCACAGCAUGGGUAUUUAUAUAACUGUGUGUAAUUUGUAUGUACUGUGCAUAAAUUUACUGUAAUUCUUUUUUAUACCUUCAACAAAACUGCAGUAUAAAACAAUGUAAUCCUUGUCUGCCUCGUGAAGCAUUGGCAGCUGAACUGUCUUUUGUCACCAGUUCUGAUACGUUAGCCAGACGCCUGAGUCCUAAAAGUGAGUUCUGACAUACAAUCUUCCAUUCAGUACUUUUUUCUUCACAGCACUGGCAGCAAUAGAAUACUUUUGUAAUUAAUUCAUUGUCCUGAUAAGUAUGCCAAAGAGAAACUAAAUUAGUUCAUCUUUUUCCCUGGUGGAUAUUUGAUAAUUCUGUUUUCAGAAAUAGUGGAUGAAUAGAUAUUCAGACUGUAUUUGCUUAAUCGGGCAUUGUACUUGCCUCUUUUGUAAUGUUGUGCCUGCCCAUAACAGACAUACUUGAUUGAUUAAAUGGUUACAUUGAUUGUAGUACCAAUCUUUCAUGGAUAAAAAUCUUAAUAAAUUUUUUUUAAUACCC